CACAGCAAGGGGGGAGGAGAAGAAACCUAACCCUCACCUUUCCUUCUCACCACCAUAACUCCUCCGUCCGGGCUCCGAUUGUCGCACCGUUCACGGCCACGCGCUUAGCGCGUCGAGCUCUACCUUUCUAUCUGAACAAUUUCACUGGUUCAAGUUAGCUUCCGGAACUUGUGGGCUCAAGCUACUGAGCAUAUGGGUAUGGUGUAGUUUAAGAGGGUGUUUAUGCAUUGGACUUGAAUUUGGAUUACUUGGAGCUUUGUUGGUGACAAGGCUUGCUUUGGGGCUGUUUGAUUGAGCUUGGAGGGGCUGUGAUUUUGUGUUGAGAGGCUGCCUUGGGUGAAUUAAGUGAUCGGCCAAGGUAUGGUUUAAGUUUCGCACGUUUAAUAUUUACGGUGUUGUGAAAACUUAGGUUAGAGGAACCAUAGGAUAAGUUGAAUUGUUUGUUGUAUUUAAUGAUUAGCCUUGUAAUGUUGUUGGAAUAGAUUUGUUGGUGGAUAU